GGUUGACAGUUUAACCCUGAGUCAUCCUAAACACGGGUCAAAAGGGAUGAAUUAUACAGUAACCAUAUUCACGUAGGUUCUGAGUGUUGCGAUUGUGAUUAUUCGAUCUAUCCGAAUGUUGGGUACCAUUGCUAGAUGGUCACUUCGAUUAGUACAGGAAUUGUUUCCUGUGCUACCGGUUUAGGUUUGAACCUGCGGGGUCACACACAUUAGAGGUUCCUAUCUAAUCUGAUGGCUGAUGAAGAGUCAUAAUAUUCGUAAACU
rnacentral:lncRNA from 1 species